rnacentral:rRNA from 1 species
AGUGAACGCUGGCGGUAGGCCUAACACAUGCAAGUCGAACGGCAGCACAGUAAGAGCUUGCUCUUACGGGUGGCGAGUGGCGGACGGGUGAGGAAUACAUCGGAAUCUACUUUUUCGUGGGGGAUAACGUAGGGAAACUUACGCUAAUACCGCAUACGAACUACGGGUGAAAGCAGGGGAUCUUCGGACCUUGCGCGAUUGAAUGAGCCGAUGUCGGAUUAGCUAGUUGGCGGGGUAAAGGCCCACCAAGGCGACGAUCCGUAGCUGGUCUGAGAGGAUGAUCAGCCACACUGGAACUGAGACACGGUCCAGACUCCUACGGGAGGCAGCAGUGGGGAAUAUUGGACAAUGGGCGCAAGCCUGAUCCAGCCAUACCGCGUGCGUGAAGAAGGCCUUCGGGUUGUAAAGCCCUUUUGUUGGGAAAGAAAAGCAGCAGGUUAAUACCCCGCUGUUCUGACGGUACCCAAAGAAUAAGCACCGGCUAACUUCGUG